rnacentral:lncRNA from 1 species
AAUCAGUAUGAAGACGGCUGAUAAGCGCUUGUCAUUUAAGAUGGAGUACAUCGUCCUUUUAGGUCCUACAAAUCCGAUAUCCCUCUUUUUUACUGGCUUCUACUGACUCCAAGACCGUACCCCUCGUCUCAGACUGUGCGUAAAAACACACAUAGGAGCAGUGAUGCCAUGGGUGUGCUUUAAUAGAGCCUCAACAGGAGCCGAAAAAACUCAGCUCAGUAUCCACCUUAGGUCUCCACUGUGUAUGCCUAUAGAUUCCAUGACAUGUGCUCUUUCGGAAACCUGUAAUGGCCAAGAUGAACUCCUCCUCACAAGGAAAAGAUGGCUGGCUGCUGUCUCCCUGUCAUGUCCUGUGAGUCUCUCUCAGCCUUUUUUGUUUGGCCCUGUCGGAUCUUUUUGCGGUCUGGGCUUGCUGUUCCUUAACCAAAUAGCCAGGAAGCCCUUACCCCAAAAAGUAUCUGCUGAGGACCCUUCCAUCCGAGAGGCCCUGGGACUGUCAGCUAGGCUCACGUCACGGAUGGAACUGAAACUCGCCAGUGGUGUGUGAUGUACGUGGCAAACACCCAUGCCUCACACACACAGAGGUGCAACACCCACGCCUACACAUGUUCUCUUUGAGACCCAUGCCAGGAGAUUUACACACAUGCAGACAUGCUUCAAAGCAUAUGCACAGAGAUGCAUCAAACCAAACUGGUGUGUCAGUCACCCACUGGUGAAACCACUAAAGCAAAAUCAGAGUGAGAGACUUGUUCAAAUUGGCAGAUUAAAUGACAGACAGUCUUUUUGAAAAUAUACACUCACAAAUGAUCUGCACAUUUUGCACGUUCCUUUGGUCAGACAGACACAGUGUCUCAUUUCACACAUUUCCACAAGUACUGAGUUAAUCUAAAGAUGUGGUUCAGGCUUGUCAUUCUUGACAAAAAUCAUUACUUACACGCUAUUAUUUUUUUUGUUUAGUUUUUUCCCCCUGAAGGCAACGAUGCCUAUCUGACCAUUACUCUGGCAUGAGGGACCAGGCCAGUGAAUAUAUUGAUGAGUCUGGGUGCAGGAGUGGAUGAAUGCCUGUGUGAGGAGGAGGUCCUGAAUCUAAUAGACCACUCCCUAUCAGGGUUUUCCCACUAACAGGCAUCAAGACUGUCUUGGCGUCUCAUAUCUACAUCUGUCUCUACAUUCAAUCUCCCUCUCCGUUACUGUCCAUGCAUUGAUGUAGAAGUUCCUUUUUUUUUUUUUAAAUCGUACUAAUAGUGUUAUUAUCGGUCACAUCUAAAUCAGCUUAAAUGUAAUUGAUGGUGAGCUCAUCAUUUAGACUGUGUUGUCUAAACAGGAAUGUACAGUAUGUGUGUUAAUACUGUCCUGCUACCUGAAACGGAUAGCAAUACAAAAACAGUCAGUUAUGGAUUCAUUAGUUAUUAUAUUUAAUUGCUGUGCUGUUUCCAUCGGGGUACUAUUAAGAUCUUCCUUUUUUCCCACAUAAUAACUUGGAAAACAUGAUAAGCCUCAUCCAUGCAGUGACACAUGUCAAAUGGGUUCCAUUUCUAUCCCAUUAU